GAUGAACGCUGGCGGCGUGCCUAAUACAUGCAAGUCGAGCGAACAGACGAGGAGCUUGCUCCUCUGACGUUAGCGGCGGACGGGUGAGUAACACGUGGUUAACCUACCUAUAAGACUGGGAUAACUUCGGGAAACCGGUGCUAAUACCGGAUAAUAUAUUCAACCUCAUGGUUCAAUAGUGAAAGACGGUUUUGCUGUCACUUAUAGAUGGAUCCGCGCCGCAUUAGCUAGUUGGUAAGGUAACGGCUUACCAAGGCGACGAUGCGUAGCCGACCUGAGAGGGUGUUGGCCGACACAGGAGCUGAGACACGGCCCAGACUCCUACGGGAGGCAGCAGUAGGGAAUCUUCCGCGAUGUGGGAAAGCCUGACGGAGCAACGCCGCGUGAGUGAUGAAGGUCUUCGGAUCGUAAAACUCUGUUAUUAGGGAAGAACAAAUGUGUAAGUAACUAUGCACGUCUUGACGGUACCUAAUGAGAAAGCCACGGCUAACUACGUG
rnacentral:rRNA from 1 species